rnacentral:rRNA from 1 species
CAGCAGCCGCGGGAAUACGUAGGUGGCAAGCGUUGUCCGGAAUUAUUGGGCGUAAAGGGCUCGCAGGCGGUUUCUUAAGUCUGAUGUGAAAGCCCCCGGCUCAACCGGGGAGGGUCAUUGGAAACUGGGAAUCUUGAGUGCAGAAGAGGAGAGUGGAAUUCCACGUGUAGCGGUGAAAUGCGUAGAGAUGUGGAGGAACACCAGUGGCGAAGGCGACUCUCUGGUCUGUAACUGACGCUGAGGAGCGAAAGCGUGGGGAGCGAACAGGAUUAGAUACCCCUGUAGUCCCUGUCUCUUAUAC